CAGACCUCUAAUCGGAAAAGACUACCCGCUGAGUUUAAGCAUAUCACUAAGCGGAGGAGAAGAAACUAACCAGG
rnacentral:rRNA from 22 species